UGGGGCUGAAAAUUCUGGAGUUUUAUGGCUGAUUCCAGCUAGUAGCCUUUCUUCACCAGGCUCCAACUGAAUUAAUUUGAUACUAUUUUUGAAAGUCAGUGUUUCUAAGGGAGACCUAAUGACGCACUGACGUCAAUGCAGGUCAAUAGCACACACUGCUGGAACUGGGCGUGCUACACCGAGCCAGAGCUGGAGCCUUUUCAAACAGCCCCAACUCUGCAAAUAUCCCAGCUUUGCAGGGGAAACAAGCAGGGUUUGGUAGGCGUUGAGACCCCCCACCACUCUUUCUGAACACCCUCAAAAUCGAUGCAUCUUUUCCUGAUGCAAAAAAAAAAAGGGGGGGGGGGAAAGAAAAUCCAAACAUAUAAUCAGACGCACUGCAGAGUUCUUGCUCUGAUCAGUUACUCAGGAGGUGCCUGAAUGUGUGGGGGUGGGAGCGUGGGAG
rnacentral:lncRNA from 1 species